rnacentral:rRNA from 1 species
UACGUAGGGUGCGAGCGUUAAUCGGAAUUACUGGGCGUAAAGGGCGCGUAGGCGGCCAUCUAAGUCAGACGUGAAAUCCCUCGGCUCAACCGAGGAACUGCGUCUGAUACUGGAAGGCUUGAAUCCGGGAGAGGGAUGUGGAAUUCCAGGUGUAGCGGUGAAAUGCGUAGAUAUCUGGAGGAACACCGGUGGCGAAGGCGGCAUCCUGGACCGGUAUUGACGCUGAGGCGCGAAAGCUAGGGGAGCAAACGGGG